rnacentral:rRNA from 1 species
GACAGAGGGUGCAAACGUUGUUCGGAAUUACUGGGCGUAAAGCGAGUGUAGGCGGUGUGGUAAGUCGGAUGUGAAAGCCCCGGGCUCAACCCGGGAAGUGCACUCGAUACUGCCACGCUAGAGUAUCGGAGAGGUUGGUGGAAUUCUCGGUGUAGAGGUGAAAUUCGUAGAUAUUAGGAAGAACACCAGUGGCGAAGGCGGCUCACUGGCCCGGUACUGACGCUGAGGCGCGAAAGCGUGGGGAGCAAACAGG